GGACGAACGCUGGCGGCGUGCCUAACACAGUGCAAGUCGAGCGAUGAAGCUCCUUCGGGAGUGGAGUUAGCGGCGGACGGGUGAGUAACACGUGGGUAACCUGCCUCAUAGAGAGGAAUAGCCUUCCGAAAGGGAGAUUAAUACCUCAUAACAUUGCAGUUUCGCAUGGAACAGCAAUUAAAGGAGUAAUCCGCUAUGAGAUGGGCCCGCGGCGCAUUAGCUAGUUGGUGAGGUAACGGCUCACCAAGGCGACGAUGCGUAGCCGACCUGAGAGGGUGAUCGGCCACAUUGGGACUGAGACACGGCCCAGACUCCUACGGGAGGCAGCAGUGGGGAAUAUUGCACAAUGGGGGAAACCCUGAUGCAGCCAACGCCGCGUGAGUGAUGACGGCCUUCGGGUUGUAAAGCUCUGUCUUCAGGGACGAUAAUGACGGUACCUGAGGAGGAAGCCACGGCUAACUACGUGCCAGCAGCAGC
rnacentral:rRNA from 1 species